rnacentral:rRNA from 1 species
GACGAACGCUGGCGGCGUGCUUAACACAUGCAAGUCGAACGGAAAGGCCCUGCUUUUGUGGGGUGCUCGAGUGGCGAACGGGUGAGUAACACGUGAGUAACCUGCCCUUGACUUUGGGAUAACUUCAGGAAACUGGGGCUAAUACCGGAUAGGAGCUCCUGCUGCAUGGUGGGGGUUGGAAAGUUUCGGCGGUUGGGGAUGGACUCGCGGCUUAUCAGCUUGUUGGUGGGGUAGUGGCUUACCAAGGCUUUGACGGGUAGCCGGCCUGAGAGGGUGACCGGCCACAUUGGGACUGAGAUACGGCCCAGACUCCUACGGGAGGCAGCAGUGGGGAAUAUUGCACAAUGGGCGGAAGCCUGAUGCAGCAACGCCGCGUGCGGGAUGACGGCCUUCGGGUUGUAAACCGCUUUCGCCUGUGACGAAGCGUGAGUGACGGUAAUGGGUAAAGAAGCACCGGCUAACUACGUGCCAGCAGCCGCGGUGAUACGUAGGGUGCGAGCGUUGUCCGGAUUUAUUGGGCGUAAAGGGCUCGUAGGUGGUUGAUCGCGUCGGAAGUGUAAUCUUGGGGCUUAACCCUGAGCGUGCCUUCGAUACGGGUUGACUUGAGGAAGGUAGGGGAGAAUGGAAUUCCUGGUGGAGCGGUGGAAUGCGCAGAUAUCAGGAGGAACACCAGUGGCGAAGGCGGUUCUCUGGGCCUUUCCUGACGCUGAGGAGCGAAAGCGUGGGGAGCGAACAGGCUUAGAUACCCUGGUAGUCCACGCUGUAAACGGUGGGUACUAGGUGUGGGGUCCAUUCCACGGGUUCCGUGCCGUAGCUAACGCUUUAAGUACCCCGCCUGGGGAGUACGGCCGCAAGGCUAAAACUCAAAGGAAUUGACGGGGCCCCGCACAAGCGGCGGAGCAUGCGGAUUAAUUCGAUGCAACGCGUAGAACCUUACCUGGGUUUGACAUGGAUCGGGAGUGCUCAGAGAUGGGUGUGCCUCUUUUGGGGUCGGUUCACAGGUGGUGCAUGGCUGUCGUCAGCUCGUGUCGUGAGAUGUUGGGUUAAGUCCCGCAACGAGCGCAACCCUUGUUCACUGUUGCCAGCACGUUAUGGUGGGGACUCAGUGGAGACCGCCGGGGUCAACUCGGAGGAAGAUGGGGAUGACGUCAAGUCAUCAUGCCCCUUAUGUCCAGGGCUUCACGCAUGCUACAAUGGCUGGUACAGAGAGUGGCGAGCCUGUGAGGGUGAGCGAAUCUCGGAAAGCCGGUCUCAGUUCGGAUUGGGGUGUGCAACUCGACCUCAUGAAGUCGGAGUCGCUAGUAAUCGCAGAUCAGCAACGCUGCGGUGAAUACGUUCCCGGG